rnacentral:lncRNA from 1 species
AAAUGGAGAUAUUUGUCUAGAACAGGGGUUCUUAACCUUUUCUGUAUCAUGGAUUCCUUUGGGUGUCAGUCUGGUGAAGCCUAUGAACCCCUUCUCAAGAAUGUCUUUAAAUACAUAAAAUAAAAUACACAAGGUCACAAAGGAAAGUGAUUAUGUUGAAAUAGUUAUUAAAAUAUUUUUUAAAAAUUCAUAUACUCUCUAGAAUUUAUCUAUGGACCGCUUAGAAAUCUGAAGACGCCAGAGUGAGAACCUUUGGUCUGGAUGGCCUUUCCAGCUCAAACAGUUUAUGUCCUAUAUCCCAAGGGGCCUCCUUGCCCUGGGACAGCCAAUCACCUGUUUGACCUGUUCACUUUGGUAAAGUCCUCUGCCAGACCAGCCUCUUUCUCCUAUUGUUUCUCCCACAUGCAUCGCCUCUCCAUUCAUAUAGACAUCAUCCUAGUGCCGGCUCUCAUCGCCUCAAGCCCAGACUGCUGCAAUAGUUCUUGCUGGGUCUCCCUGUCCAUUUGCCAUCAAAAGCACUGUCAGAUUUCUAGGUCACUCAGGGAAAAGGGAAUUACAACAUGGAGAACAAAGAAUUUCAUUAUAGAUUCCAAUAGUGAUAAUAGACACUAUCAUUCUAGGUCUGGCACUGCACGUCAUGAUGAUGAUGGUUAUGAGGGUCAUCUUGAAAGAAAUGAUGGUAAUGGAGGUGUAUGUGAUGAGGGAAAUACUGAAACAGUGACUGGGGUUAUGAAGAUGGUAACAUGGUGAUAUACACAGUGAUGAUGAUGAUGGGUGAAUGGAAAAUUAUCUUUCUGACAAGACAAUUUCUAGGAUAUUUCUUUGAAAAUUCAUUCCUUCAUUGAUAUAAUAGAAUCUGUGAUCUUACAACCUUCAAUUAAAAAAACAAACAAACAAACCUUUACCUUCCCACCUUAGUAUGUAGUGGUUCAAAGGCAAAAGAGUGGUAAGUGCUAGGCAAUGGGUUAAAUGGUUAAGUGACUUGUUCAGGGUCACAUAGCUAGGAAGUAUCUGAGGCCAGAUUUGAACCUAGGACCUGGCCUGGCUCUCAAUCCACUGAGCUACCUACCUGCCCCCUAUCCUUCAACCUUUUAUCUAACAUAUCUUUAUUGUUAUACAUGAUUACACAUGUAAAAUCUGUAUCAGAUUUUUUUUACAAUCUCAGCAGGAAUGGGUAAGGGAGGGAGAGAAUUUGAGAUUCAAAAUUCCUUUUAUUUUAAAACCCCCUUACCUUCCAUCUUAGAAUUAAUAUUGUGUGUUGGUUCCAAGGCUGAAGAGCAAUAAGGGGUAAGCAAUUGGGGUGAAGUGACUUGGUUGGGGUCACAUUGCUAGGAGUUUAGAUUUGAACCCAGGACUUUCCAUCCCCAGGUCUGGUUCUCAAUCUACUAAGCCAUCUUGCUGCCCCCCAGUCAAAAUUCUUUUUUAAAUGUUGGAAAUUGUUUUUACAUGUAACUAGGGAGAAAUAAAAUAAAAUGAAUGUAUCUUUAUUACA